UGACAUUUUAAUAAAAGAAUGUAAUUAAAUAUUUUUAUCACCAAUAAACAGUGAAUAAUUAUUCUUAUUUUCAUUAUAGUGAAGUCUUUAAAAAAUUAAAAUUAAAAUACAUAUUUCUCUCAUGUUUAGAAAUUGAUAUGGCAAAAAAAUCAAAGCUAUAUUCAUUUAGAAGAAAAGAUGAUAUAGAAUGUUACCUCAGAACUAGAAAUAACCUUAGAUAUAUUUUCUUUUUAAUUAUUUUAAAAGAAUAGACAAGAACAUGUUCUUUUAUUCAACUUGAACAUAUUAAUAUCUGUGUAUCAGUUAACUUUUGCUUUGUAAUAAGCCACGCCAAAUGUGAGUGUAAUAAAAUAUCAAAUAAUCAUGUAUUUAGUUGACAAAUCUGUGGGUUAACAACUUACGAUGGGCUCAAAUGGGUCUUCUUUUGGUUUUUGCCUGGGUGCACUGCAACUUCGAUGAGCUGAGUCAUCUGAGACAUGACUAGUCUAGAACAUUCGUAACUGAGACAACUGUGCUGCCAUGGCUGUGGUCCAAAUGUUACCCUCUGUGAGUCUGGGUUCUUUUACAUGGUGGCUGCUCAGGGUUCCAAGAAAACAAAAGACAGAAGAAUGCAGCAUUUCUUGAUGCCAACGCUUGGAACUGCUACAUUGCCAUUUCUAUUAUUUCUUCAUUACAAGCAGAGUAAAAGGCCUCCUCAAUGCUAAGAGGUGCACUUUCUACUACAACCAAGUGAUCAAAUUUUGCAUCACUCAUAAUGAGACCAACUGAAAUAAUACACCUCUGGAUGACAAAAGAAAGCAUAGAAUAUUACUCAUGUCCUUUUCUUGCCAUAAUGUUUAAUCUUAAUCUAAUCCUGAGGAAACAAUCACAAAGUUCCAACUGGGAACCCUUCUCCAUGGCCUGGGAUCUUCAAGAACGUCAACGUGAUAAAAGUAAAAAAUGUGAGGAAAAUGUUCUAAUUAAAAGAAGCGAGAGAUUGCAUAGUAAACACAAUGUUGGUUUGAUAUUUUAAAACUCAGAUAUAAAAAAUUUUGGGGGGUUUGUUGAAUAAACUUGAACAUAGAUUAUAAUGAAGUAUUGUG
rnacentral:lncRNA from 1 species